rnacentral:rRNA from 1 species
GAUUUCUGGGUUCCCGCUUUUGGCCGGCCACGGUUUCGUGUGUUAGUGCUUGGAGCGGCGCCCAUCCUUCGCAUCGCUCGGGUCUGCUCUUCAUUGAACGGGCACGGGUAUGCGAUCGUUUACUUUGAAAAAAUUAGAGUGUUUCAAGCAGGCUUUAUGCUAUGAAUACAUUAGCAUGGAAUAAUAAUUUAGGACUUCGGUUCUAUUUUGUUGGUUUCUAGGACUGAAGUAAUGAUUGAUAGGGAUAGUUGGGGGUGCUAGUAUUCAGCGGCCAGAGGUGAAAUUCUCGGAUUCGCUGAAGACUAACUUAUGCGAAAGCAUU